rnacentral:rRNA from 1 species
UGGGGAAUAUUGCACAAUGGGGGAAACCCUGAUGCAGCGACGCCGCGUGAACGAAGAAGGUAUUCGUAUCGUAAAGUUCUGUCCUAUGGGAAGAUAAUGACAGUACCAUAGAAGAAAGCUCCGGCUAAAUACGUGCCAGCAGCCGCGGUAAUACGUAUGGAGCGAGCGUUGUCCGGAAUUAUUGGGCGUAAAGGGUACGCAGGCGGUUUAAUAAGUCGAAUGUUAAAGAUCGGGGCUCAACCCCGCAAAGCAUUGGAAACUGAUAAACUUGAGUAGUGGAGAGGAAAGUGGAAUUCCUAGUGUAGUGGUGAAAUACGUAGAUAUUAGGAGGUAUACCAGUAGCGAAGGCGACUUUCUGGACACAAACUGACGCUGAGGUACGAAAGCGUGGGGAGCAAACAG